CUUGCGCACGCACUCUCUGUCUCAAAAUAAAUAAACAAACAUUAAAAAAAAAUCUGAAUUCAUGAACAUCAGCUCAUCUGGGCAACCUCACCAUAUCACUUUAACAGCUUCCUAGCAGGUCUCCCUGCUUACAGUCUGUUUUAAACCCAGCAGCCGGAGGGAUCCUUUUAUAGUGUGAAUCAAAUCAUGUCAUUCCAUUGAUCAAAUCUGCCCAUGAUGUCCCAUCUCGCUCAGAGUAAAAACCAGAACCCCCGAAAUGCUCUGUAAGACCCUGCAGGGUGUGGCACCCCAUUUCCUUUGUUCUCUCCUCUUCCUCUUUCUCCUCCUCCUCUCCCCACAGAGUACACAGAUUCAAGUCCUGACUCUAUUUUCUGUGUGUCUUUGGGCAAAUAAUGUAACUGGUCUGUGUCUCAGUUCCUCAUCUGUAAAUGAAGCUAAUGAUCAUAGCUUGCUCACAGGAGUGUUGUGAGGACAAAAUAAGUUAAUAUUUAAAAAGCCCUCACAGCAGCCUGACACAUAAUAAGAACUGUUGCUCCUCUGCUCUAGCCGUGCUGGCUUCCUCGAUUUUCCUCAAAUGAGCCCCGUUUGUUCCUGCCCGAGUGCCUUUGCAAAUGCUGCUUUCUCUGCAUGGCCCUGCUUCCACAGGAAGCUUGUCUGCUGGAGUCCUCAUCUAACUGCUCUCUGCCCCUUGGAGUGAGAUCAUUGUUUUGCUAACAAGUUUUGGGGUGGAAAAGAGUCCUGUGGAUUUGUUCCAGAAUAUUGUCCGUUUAACUGAGGCUCACUCAUUGGUUAGUGUUUAUCUUCCACCUGAAACAAAACCAACUUCCCCAUUCUGCUCACCCCUCUUUUCUCCUUUCCUUUUUAGGAGAAACAGGGUUCUAUGGCCACACUGGGGAGGAAGUAACUGGCCCAGUGUUCUCACCUCAGCAGGACAGCACGGAAUGACCCAGAAUGACCCCGUUCGGGAUGGUCCUUGGCAUCGCCCUCUGUCUCUGACCUGUGGCAGAGGAAAGAAGGAGCAAGAAACACGGUGUCAGAGAGAAGGAUAAAUUAAGAGGCCAAACAUAAAGAACAUGAAGAACACUCAUGAUUGUUUUGUUAUUAGAAUUUGGGUUUACAUAUGUGUAUGUAUCUCGGAAGGAUAUUGUAAGGAAUAAAAUCAUUUUAUAUGUA